UGUAUAAUGGGUCAGCGACUUAUAUUCUGUAGCAAGGUUAACCGAAUAGGGGAGCCGAAGGGAAACCGAGUCUUAACUGGGCGUUAAGUUGCAGGGUAUAGACCCGAAACCCGGUGAUCUAGCCAUGGGCAGGUUGAAGGUUGGGUAACACUAACUGGAGGACCGAACCGACUAAUGUUGAAAAAUUAGCGGAUGACUUGUGGCUGGGGGUGAAAGGCCAAUCAAACCGGGAGAUAGCUGGUUCUCCCCGAAAGCUAUUUAGGUAGCGCCUCGUGAAUUCAUCUCCGGGGGUAGAGCACUGUUUCGGCAAGGGGGUCAUCCCGACUUACCAACCCGAUGCAAACUGCGAAUACCGGAGAAUGUUAUCACGGGAGACACACGGCGGGUGCUAACGUCCGUCGUGAAGAGGGAAACAACCCAGACCGCCAGCUAAGGUCCCAAAGUCAUGGUUAAGUGGGAAACGAUGUGGGAAGGCCCAGACAGCCAGGAUGUUGGCUUAGAAGCAGCCAUCAUUUAAAGAAAGCGUAAUAGCUCACUGGUCGAGUCGGCCUGCGCGGAAGAUGUAACGGGGCUAAACCAUGCACCGAAGCUGCGGCAGCGACGCUUAUGCGUUGUUGGGUAGGGGAGCGUUCUGUAAGCCUGCGAAGGUGUGCUGUGAGGCAUGCUGGAGGUAUCAGAAGUGCGAAUGCUGACAUAAGUAACGAUAAAGCGGGUGAAAAGCCCGCUCGCCGGAAGACCAAGGGUUCCUGUCCAACGUUAAUCGGGGCAGGGUGAGUCGACCCCUAAGGCGAGGCCGAAAGGCGUAGUCGAUGGGAAACAGGUUAAUAUUCCUGUACUUGGUGUUACUGCGAAGGGGGGACGGAGAAGGCUAUGUUGGCCGGGCGACGGUUGUC
rnacentral:rRNA from 1 species